GACGAACGCUGGCGGCGUGCCUAAUACAUGCAAGUCGAACGCAGUGGGGACGGGUGAGGAAAACGUGGGUAAACUCCCAUCAGAGGGGAGAACACGUUGAAACAGGUGCCAAAACCGUUAAUGAUGGAUGGACCUGUGGGGACUUAGCUAGGUGGUGAGGUAACGGCGAACCAAGGCCACGAUGCAUAGCCGACCUGAGAGGGUGAUCGGCCACACUGGAACUGAGACACGGCCCAGACGCCUACGGGAGGCAGCAGUAGGGAAUCUUCGGCAAUGGACGAAAGCCUGACCGAGCAAGGCCGCGUGAGUGAAGAAGGUUUUCGGAUCGUAAAACUCUGUUGUUAGGGAAGCGUUAUCUAACGAGAAAGCCACGGCUAACUACGUGCCAGCAGCCGCGGUAAUAC
rnacentral:rRNA from 1 species